GUGGAGUCCAAAUGGAGUCCUGCCGGUUGGCGUUUUUUUAAACCAAAUCUGAAUAUUUUUAUUAAAUCUUUUUUUUUUAAGUUAGGAAAGCUACUUUCGCUUUUGGCUUCAAAACAAACUCAAGAAUUUAGAAUCAGAAUUUCGUGAAUUUAGAUCUAGAAAUCGAGAUAACCAAUAAAACAGUUGUGUGGUUUACACUUAAAGUCAGUAUCUCAAGCCAGUUACCCUUAAUAAUAAUGUACUCAAGCCCUCAAACCACUUCUCUGGUUUAUCAAUUGUGUGCUCUACUGCUUGACCAAUGAAUCCCAAUUUAGUAAUUGUAGGUCAUUGUAAAAAUAUAUAUUGAUAUAUCCUAAAUAAAUCUUUUAUCAAG